UACAGAGGUCCCAAGCGUUGUUCGGAUUCAUUGGGCGUAAAGGGUGCGUAGGCGGCGCGGGAAGUCGGGUGUGAAAUCUCGGAGCUUAACUCCGAAACUGCAUUCGAUACUGCCGUGCUUGAGGACUGGAGAGGAGACUGGAAUUUACGGUGUAGCGGUGAAAUGCGUAGAUAUCGGAAGGAACAUCAGUGGCGAAAGCGACUUCCUGGACCAAUACUGACGCUCAUGUGCGAAAGCGUGGGGAGCAAACAGG
rnacentral:rRNA from 1 species